rnacentral:rRNA from 1 species
AGAGUUUGAUCCUGGCUCAGAAUCAACGCUGGCGGCGUGCCUAACACAUGCAAGUCGAACGAGAAAGGGGAGCAAUCCCUGAGUAAAGUGGCGACCGGGUGAGUAACACGUGACUAACCUGCCUUCGAGUGGGGAAUAACCUCGGGAACCGGGGCUAAUACCGCAUAAUGCCUCGGGUUAAAGGAGCAAUUCGCUUGAAG